rnacentral:rRNA from 1 species
UACAGAGGGUGCGAGCGUUGUUCGGAAUUACUGGGCGUAAGGCGCGCGCAGGCGGCCUUUUAAGUCUGCUGGUGAAAUGCCGGGGCUCAACCCCGUGCCCGCCACAGAUACUGGGAGGCUGGAGACGAGUAGAGGCAAGCGGAAUUCCGGGUGUAGUGGUGGAAUGCGUAGAGAUCCGGAAGAACACCGGAGGCGAAGGCGGCUUGCUGGGCUCGGUCUGACGCUGAGGCGCGAAAGCGUGGGGAGCGAACAGG